rnacentral:rRNA from 1 species
GACGAACGCUGGCGGCGUGCCUAAUACAUGCAAGUCGAGCGAAGUUUUUCUGGUGCUUGCACUAGAAAAACUUAGCGGCGAACGGGUGAGUAACACGUAAAGAACCUGCCUCAUAGACUGGGACAACUAUUGGAAACGAUAGCUAAUACCGGAUAACAGUAUUUCUCGCAUGAGAGAUAUUUAAAAGUUGGUUAUGCUAACACUAUGAGAUGGCUUUGCGGUGCAUUAGCUAGUUGGUGGGGUAAAGGCCUACCAAGGCGACGAUGCAUAGCCGGCCUGAGAGGGUGAUCGGCCACACUGGGACUGAGACACGGCCCAGACUCCUACGGGAGGCAGCAGUAGGGAAUCUUCCGCAAUGGGCGAAAGCCUGACGGAGCAACGCCGCGUGAGUGAAGAAGGAUUUCGGUUCGUAAAGCUCUGUUGUUAGGGAAGAAUGGAUAUGUAGUAACU